GACGAACGCUGGCGGCGUGCUUAACACAUGCAAGUCGAACGAUGAAGCUGGAGCUUGCUCCGGUGGAUUAGUGGCGAACGGGUGAGUAACACGUGAGCAAUCUGCCCUUGACUCUGGGAUAACUGCGGGAAACUGUAGCUAAUACCGGAUACUUUCCUUGGUGGGCAUCCACUGGGGAAGAAAGAAUUUCGGUCAAGGAUGAGCUCGCGGCCUAUCAGCUAGUUGGUGAGGUAAUGGCUCACCAAGGCGACAACGGGUAGCCGGCCUGAGAGGGUGACCGGCCGCACUGGAACUGAGACACGGUCCAGACUCCUACGGGAGGCAGCAGUGGGGAAUAUUGCACAAUGGGCGAAAGCCUGAUGCAGCAGCGCCGCGUGAGGGACGAAGGCCUCGGGUUGUAAACCUCUUUUAGCAGGGAAGAAGCGAAAGUGACGGUACCUGCAGAAAAAGCACCGGCUAACUACGUGCCAGCAGCCGCAGUAA
rnacentral:rRNA from 1 species